CUGCCCAAAACAGGUGAGAGACUCUGUGAGAGCAAAGGGGAAGAGGGUGAAGAAUCAAUUAUAGACAUUUUUUCAUCUAUUUCUGCAGAUCACAGCAAUGAAGGAGGAAAGCUUAUCCUGGCCAGGAUCUCACAGGCAGCCAAUGAAGGGAGGGAGAAAAAUACUGGGUCAAAUCCUGUUUGCAGUGCCUCAAAUCAAGCUUUCCAAAGAAGCUGAAGCCACAGAUGGACAUCUUCCCCUCAGGACAAAAGACUCCCAUUCAUGCACCUUCCUCCUCCUUCAUCGAAUGGUAAUGACUCAUGCUGGCAAUACAAUUAAUGCUACAGGUAAAUUUGCAGUACUUGAACAAUAGUAGUUCUCUAUGUGACAAUAUGAUAUGCUAAGGGGUACACAAAAGCUUAUUGCAGCUGCCUCAAAGGGUCUUCAGGGAAAGCCCUCCCACCAUUACACACUGGGGGGCUAGAAUCUAUGUAAAAUACUCAGGUGCAUCAUUUUUGGAAUGUUUAUGAAAUAAAAUUUAAUGCUGUGCUAUUAUAUUGUAAGUCUUGUAAGCAAAUAGAAUCAAAUCUUUUCUAUUGUGAAGGGCAAAAUAUACGUGCGUUAUGUAUUUGCGAAUGUUAUGAAUAAUGUAUAAAUUUGAACAUUUUCAACAUAAUUUUCACCUGCUGACAUAAUCCCUAUCUAUAAAUUACAAGUUACUAGUGUGACGGAUUGGUGCCACACACACACACACACACACACAUAGGUGCAGGGACAAAUAGUGUGGAGAUAGCAGUGAGUCUGCAGAAGAACUUGGACAGGUUGAGAGAGUGGUCAAAGAAAUGGCUGAUGGAAUGCAAUAUACAAAAUUGCGCAGCCAUGGACCUUGGUAGUAGGAAUAAAGGCAUGGAUUAUUUUCUGGUGGUUAUAGACAUACCAUGCACCCACCAGCAUUGCCACUACGACAGAGAUGAACAAGCCUCCAUGUAUCUGGAGCAUUCUGGGGUGUAUAACUGAUACUCGCUGCUACAAUCAAUAAAACUUUAACCAUCAUUAACACUGCAAUGCCAGUUGAGGAGUUUUUAGUUUAGUUUAAAUAUACAGUGCGGAAACGAGUCUGCAGUGACCAGCGAUCCCUGCACACUAACACCAUCCUACACACACUUUACACUCAUGCCAAGCCAAUUAACCUACAAACUUGUAUGUAUUUGGACUGUAGGAGGAAACUGAAGAUCUCGGAGAAAACCCACGCAGUCAUGGGGAGAACGUACAAACUCUGUACAGACAGCACCCAUAGUCAGGGACGAACCCGGGUCUCCGCCGCUGUAAGGCAGCAACCCUAGCGCUCUGCCACCAUGCUGCCCCUUUUCUGCAGGUAAAUUUAGAGGAUGUGGGCACAAAUAUUCAGAUUUUCCUUUAUAAAUUGUAGUCCGUACUCCUUUCAUACAUUGAGAUAUGUGCAUCUCUGCCAAUGAGUGUGGGUUUGAAAAUAGUGCCAGAUUGGAUGCUCGGUGACCUCACUCACAUUUCCCUAUUUAUUCUCUAUUACCUCUGUAAAAAUAUCUGAACUUUAAAUAUCUCGGACAAUGUCCAACAGUCUAGAAAUGGUGAAGUGAUCAAGGGAAGUAGGAGAAAAGCUGGGUGUCAUCAGUAAACACAUAAAAAGUUAUUGUUUUCAGGUGAUGUAGUCAAUAGGCAGAUAGAUCUGUGUUAUGAAUAGUUUCCGUUGGAUUCAUGAACACGGUAAAGCUUUGAUAAUCCACUGCCUAAUUAUUCAGUAAUCCCUGUGGUUUGACAUCUGGCUCACCGGGUAAUAUUUAAACUCACAUUCCUCAACUUUAAGCUGAGUUGGGACACCUUUUCCUUUGCUCAACUUUAGAUUUAUUGGCUUCAUUGAAAAAACUAGGAAUAACAUCCAAUGGUCAGGAAAAUUUGCCAGUCCAGCAACACAGUGUUUUGGAUUAAAGAGGCACCAGGAAACAAAAUGCCUAACUAAUCUUUAAAUUAUCCCACCAACCUCCAAUAAGGCAUUAUUUUAUUUUUUUAUUUUAUUUUUUUAUUAGAAGUAAGUACAAUAAUAUGGUACCAUAGAUACCUAGAAUAUAUAUUGACAUGUUACAGUUCAUGUACAGCUUCUUAUUUUCUAUUUUAACAAUAAAAAGGAGAGAGAAAGAGAAUAGAAAAGAAAUAGCGAAGUGUGUGAUAUCAGAAAGUGAGAAAAUGAAAAUGAGAAAAGAAAGAAAAUGAAGAGAAAAGAAGAAGAGGUAGAAAGCAGAAGAAUAAAGGGGAGAUAGCUAUUUGUUAUUCUUGACCACCAUUCACCCAGUCCUGAAACGGAUCAUUUCUACGUUUGUGUUGCGCCAUAUGCUAGUAAGAAGUCGACAAAUGGAGAUCAAAUCCUUAGGAAUUGGUCUACUUUGUCUGUUAGGAGGAAUCGCAUUUCUUCAAGAUGUAAGGUUUCCAACAUGUUUGAAAUCCACAUUUUAAACGUUGGUAUCGAUGUAUUUUUCCAAAAUGUCAGUAUAAGUUUUUUUUUGCCUUAUGUUGCAUUAUUAAUACUAUCUCUUUUGUAAUUGGCACAAUUCCUAUAAACUCCAUGCACCAGUUUUAAAUGAGCAGCUAGGUACAUCGGAAGGAUCUGCUGCCCACUAUUUUUGUUUUUGUCGUUUCACAGGUUCUCAAAAGUAGCUCCACAUUCCAUUCAUAAGAUUACCAUUUUUACAAAAGCAGAUUCUGUGCUUUGGGCAAUCUACAAAGGCUGAUGACAAGUUAUACACUCUUUUUCUCUGUUCAUGUUUGCUGGCUGGUCUGUCGAAUAUUUUUACCAUUUCCUUUAUUAUUCCACACAGAACAGUUCCUCAUCAAUUUAGUAAACUUUGCAAAAAUUAGAAUCGAAAAAGGAACAAAAACUGGGUGUGUUAGUGUAUUAAAGUUCUUGAAAUUGAAUGUGACAACCCUCAUGAUUUCAAAGGGUGAUCUGUAAACACGAGUAUUAUUUGUUUUGUAAAGGCUAUUGACCAAUUCAAAUUGUAACCACAAGCACUCGAUUAAUCCUAACAUUUACACAGGAUUUUAAUCACUUAAUUUCUAUGUAGCAAUAUAAAUAUCCCUAUGCCCAUUUAGUCCCAUUAGGAUUGAGAUGAAGAAAAACUUAGUCACCCAGAGAGUUGUGAAUCUGUGGAAUUAUCUGCCACAAAUGGAAGUGGAGGCCAACUAACUAGAUGGUUUCAAGAGAGUUAGAUUUAGCACUUAGGGCUAAAGGAAUGGGGAAAAGGCGGGAAUGGGAUACUGAUUUUAGAUGAUCAGCCAUGAUCAUAUUGAAUGGCGGUGCUGGCUCAAAGGGCCGAAUGGCCUAUUCCUGCACCUAUUUUUCUACGUUUCUAUGCAAAUUGGAACUUUCAAGAAUUUAUUUGCCAAAAUAUAUUUUGUGAUUUCCAUUUUUCUUUUAAUUAACUUUUCAAAAAAUGUUAAUCCAAGAAAUAAUGGGAUUGAUUGUUAUUUUGUCAAGGAGCUCUAGAGCUGGGAAUGAGAUAAUCUGAGAAGAAUCAUCCAAAUUCUCUGCAAAAUAAAUAUUACUGCAAAAUGCAGGCAAGUCUUAUCUUUACCAGCAAAAACUGUUCUGCUAUUUAGGGGCUUUUUAAAGUAAGCUACAUCUUGAAAACAAUAAUAUGGUCCCAUGCGAAAAGUGCCCAUGGCAUUCCAUUGAUUUAAGGUUAUGCAACAGCUGAAAUUGUUGAUUUAUGGUGAAAUGUGAAUGUGCAAAGGAAAUUCCAACUUUUGCAAUGAAGUCUCAGGUGAAAAAACGCAGUAAAAUAUGACGCAAGCCCCGAUAUACAAAGCAGGAAAUGUUUAUUUGUGUAUCGUGUGCAACAAAAUUGGAGAAAGUUUUGGCAUAAAGAAACUUACAACUUUGUUACAGGAGCUUAGGAUAUAAUUGGGAAAGUCAAAAUGUUUUAGGAGAAAAAUAGUUCCUAUUCCUUUCACUCAACCUUUUGAUAGAAUCACACUGCAACUACUCACCGAGUGAUUGCACUUACACUCUUAUUUUCAUGAGAAGGUUGGAGGAGAGGGUGCAGUAACAGCUGCAGCAUAUUUGUGGACAUUCCCAGACUACUAGGGACAGAAUUAGGCUGAAAUUUUGUGAUCAUAAGCUGUCACGUGAAUAUGGGUUAAGAAGGAAAAAAAAGAAUUGAAGCCAGAUAAACAAUGUGAGGCAAUGAUCAAUUGCAAUACGAGGAAGAAUAUGUUUGCAGCUCAUGGACCAGGGCGUCUGCCACAAUUGCCUAUAUUGAACCAAUAUUCGGACUGGUGGGGUGGAUAUAAAGAAGAGUUGCCUACUCUUUUCAAUUGCAACCUUCACGUGGUCUGCCCUGUUUCGACGAAUGCAAUAUGCAAUCAACCCCUAGUGCACAAUCAAAUAAGAUCAAAUAGAACAAGUUGUCCUACAACUUUAGGCUGUGCACGCUAUAUGCAAGAAGAAGUUUUUAAAUCUAUAUAGUGUUCGUACUUGCUUCAUACGUCGCUCAGUACUUGCAAAGGGAACAGAAGCCAAUGGAAUUUCCAAAUUAUAAUUCAUUAACAAUUUUCAAGCUCAAGACCUGACCUUGAAACAUUGUAGACACUGAUUCCUGCAUCUGCCCCUAAUAAUUUAAUGAUCUGCCAUUCAAGGACUGUUCCAUUGAAUUACAAUCCUUGAGAUUGGAUGUUAUAAUUCAAUAGUUCAAAAGUCUUUUAUUGUCACGUGAACACUAAGGUACAAUGACAUUUGAUACAGUCACACCAAAAAAAGCAACAAGACACAAUAUUACAUCAAAAAUUAAACAUAAACAGCCACCACAGCGGCGUGUGCGAAUCCCUAGGCACACAGCAAAAGUGAAGAUCCACAGCCAUCAGUCCAAUGGCCGGGCCACUCACACGCUCUUCAUCGUGAUGUGACCAGAGUUGCACCGACAGCUUGUCGCUCUCUCUCCAAUCCCUGUCUGCCCGAACAAUCAGAAAGCCUUCCGCAUUCGCAUCAGACUCGAGGAUGCUCCCAUGGCCCCACACCCCAGCAAACACCGAGACCACUGCACUCACGGCAAUCCCCACCAGCGUAGGCAGCAUCCAUCUUGCUUUCGGUGACCUUGCACUCCUCGCUGUGAUGGAAAGUGGAUAAUUUUUACCUUCUUCCUCCUUUUCUCCCAUGGUCGGGGCGAUCAAAACAUCUGCAGUCGGGGCGAUCGAUGCUCUCGCAGUCGGUGAUCGAAGCUCCCGUGAUUGGGGCGGUCGAAGCUCCUGCAGCUGGAGUUCCAGAAGUCGGUCCUUAACAAAGGGCUCCACGAUGUUAGGCCGCUGUGCGGACGGGGAUACGCUCAGAAAAAGUCGCAUCUCCUUCGGGGGAAGAGAUUAAAAUAAAGUUUCCCCCACCACCCGCGCAAUACAAAAACUAAAGAUCAACUAAAACAUACAAAUAAAACGGACUAAAAACGACAAAGAAAGGGACGGCAGGUUGUUGGCGAGGCUACCUCAUGGUGCCACCCGGUUAUAAAAGUUCCAUCCAUUUCUUCCAACAGUUUAAGCAGA